AUUGAACGCUGGCGGCAUGCCUUACACAUGCAAGUCGAACGGUAACAGGUUAAGCUGACGAGUGGCGAACGGGUGAGUAAUGUACCGGAACGUGCCCAGUCGUGGGGGAUAACUGCUCGAAAGAGCAGCUAAUACCGCAUACGACCUGAGGGUGAAAGCGGGGGAUCGCAAGACCUCGCGCGAUUGGAGCGGCCGAUAUCAGAUUAGGUAGUUGGUGGGGUAAAGGCCUACCAAGCCUACGAUCUGUAGCUGGUCUGAGAGGACGACCAGCCACACUGGGACUGAGACGCGGCCCAGACUCCUACGGGAGGCAGCAGUGGGGAAUUUUGGACAAUGGACGCAAGUCUGAUCCAGCCAUGCCGCGUGCGGGAAGAAGGCCUUCGGGUUGUAAACCGCUUUUGUCAGGGAAGAAAAGGUUCUGGCUAAUACCUGGGACUCAUGACGGUACCUGAAGAAUAAGCACCGGCUAACUACGCGCCAGCCGCCGCGGUAACAC
rnacentral:rRNA from 1 species